rnacentral:rRNA from 1 species
GACGAACGCUGGCGGCGUGCCUAACACAUGCAAGUCUAGCGAAGUGAGUACUACGGUACGAACUUAGCGGCGGACGGGUGAGUAACGCGUGGACAAUCUACCCUGUAGACUGGGAUAACACCUCGAAAGGGGUGCUAAUACCGGAUAAUGUCGAGAAGCGGCAUCGCUUUUCGAAGAAAGGGGAGAAUACGCUAUAGGAGGAGUCCGCGUCCCAUUAGCUAGUUGGUGAGGGUAACGGCACACCAAGGCGACGGUGUGGCACCGGCCUGAGAGGGUGAACGGCCACACUGGAACUGAGACACGGUGCAGACUCCUACGUGGGGCAGCAGUUGGGAAUAUUGUGCAAUGGGGGAAACCCUGACACAGCAACGCCGCGUGAGCGAAGAAGGCCUUCGGGUUGUAAAGCUCAAUAGUAUGGGAAGAUAAUGACGGUACCAUACGAAAGCCCCGGCUAACUACGUGCCAGCCGCCGCCGUAACAC